CACGUAGGGCGCAAGCGUUGUCCGGAAUUAUUGGGCGUAAAGAGCUCGUAGGCGGUCUGUUGCGUCCGCUGUGAAAACUCGGGGCUUAACCCCGAGCCUGCAGUGGAUACGGGCAGACUAGAGGUAGGUAGGGGAGAAUGGAAUUCCCGGUGUAGCGGUGAAAUGCGCAGAUAUCGGGAGGAACACCAGUGGCGAAGGCGGCUUCCUGGCCUGCAACUGACGCUGAGACGCGAAAGCGUGGGGAGCGAACCGG
rnacentral:rRNA from 1 species